rnacentral:piRNA from 1 species
UGGAAUGUCAGAUUUUAUUGAGUGCAUU